CGAGACUUGAUGUGUCUAGAAGUGCAAAUUUCAAAUCAGAUGUGUCCAGAAAGUUUUUAAAUGAACUAAUGCAAAGUGAGGACAUGGUAGAUGCCCGGAGAGAGGAGAACCCAUUUAAAAAGGAAUUUUCAAGAAGGCAAAUGGUGCUGGGAAAUUUAAAACAAAGCCGAAUAGAUUUAUGUUUAGUUAAAAAAAAAAUAUUACAUUAUGUGAAAAAUGUGAGAUAUAAGUUUAUUGGAGUAAGUGAUCAUGCUGCCAUGACAGUAAAGAUGGGGGUAAAUAUGGAAGCAAGGGGUGGAGGUAUGUGGUGUCUGAAUUCAGCUUUAUUAAAGGAAGAAGCGUACAGGAAAAGUAUUAACGGAUGCAUAAGGGGUGAAAUGGAAAAUUCAUUAUUCGAAGAGAAUGUGUGUGAGUGGUGGGAAAUGAUGAAAGGGAAAAUUAAAAAAAGAAGUAUAAGAUAUUCAAAACAGAGGAAUUUUAUGAGAAAGAGGGAAAUGGAGGGCAUGGGAAGUAUGUUGGAGAAGGAAGCAGAGAAGAUAGAAAACAACCCUGAGUAUACAAAAGAACAUUUUUUUCGGAUAAAAGCAGAAAUGGAGAUGUAUGAAAAGGAAAAGUGUGAGGGAGCAAUAGUGAGGAGCAGAGCACAGUAUGCGGUGGAGGGGGAAAGGUGCACAAAGUACUUUCUGAAUCUAGAGGAAAAAAAACAGAGAAAAAAUUAUAUUACAGAGUUGGAAAAUGAAGAAGGGGAAAAGGUAACAGAUUAUGUAGAAAUAAUAGAAGUAGUAGAAUCAUUUUAUAAGAAACUCUUCAAGAAAGAAAAUGUAAAACAAGAAUGUGUGGAUGAAGUUUUAAAUACUGUAAGUGCUAGUUUAUCUGAUGUAGAAAGAAAUAAGUGUGAAGGAGACAUGAGUAUCGAAGAAAUAAAAGAAGCAAUAAAACAAACAAUAAAGUGCUUUUGCUUUCGCACUGAAACACAGCGUCUCCCUGACAUGGCUGCAUCAACACUACUGUUGUUCCUGAAACCACGUAAGUGAUCAUG
rnacentral:lncRNA from 1 species